rnacentral:rRNA from 1 species
GCAGAGCACUCCCACGGGAGGCAGCAGUGGGGAAUAUUGCACAAUGGGCGCAAGCCUGAUGCAGCCAUGCCGCGUGUAUGAAGAAGGCCUUCGGGUUGUAAAGUACUUUCAGCAGUGAGGAAGGUGGAUAUGUUAAUAGCAUAUUCAUUUGACGUUAGCUGCAGAAGAAGCACCGGCUAACUCCGUGCCAGCAGCCGCGGUAAUACGGAGGGUGCGAGCGUUAAUCGGAAUUACUGGGCGUAAAGCGCAUGCAGGUGGUUUGUUAAGUCAGAUGUGAAAGCCCCGGGGCUCAACCUCGGAAUUGCAUUUGAAACUGGCAAACUAGAGUACUGUAGAGGGGGUAGAAUUUCAGGUGUAGCGGUGAAAUGCGUAGAGAUCUGAAGGAAUACCGGUGGCGAAGGCGGCCCCCUGGACAGAUACUGACACUCAGAUGCGAAAGCGUGGGGAGCAAACAGGAUUAGAUACCCUGGUAG